GGGGCUGGUCGAAAGACCCAGGUUCAUCUGCUGGCAGGUAAGACACCC
rnacentral:ncRNA from 1 species